rnacentral:rRNA from 1 species
GGGGGGACGCAGUAGGAUAGGCGAAGCGUGCGAUUGGAUUGCACGUCUAAGCAGUAAGGCUGAGUAUUAGGCAAAUCCGGUACUCGUUAAGGCUGAGCUGUGAUGGGGAGAAGACAUUGUGUCUUCGAGUCGUUGAUUUCACACUGCCGAGAAAAGCCUCUAGAUAGAAAAUAGGUGCCCGUACCGCAAACCGACACAGGUAGUCAAGAUGAGAAUUCUAAGGUGAGCGAGCGAACUCUCGUUAAGGAACUCGGCAAAAUGACCCCGUAACUUCGGGAGAAGGGGUGCUCUUUAGGGUUAACGCCCAGAAGAGCCGCAGUGAAUAGGCCCAAGCGACUGUUUAUCAAAAACACAGGUCUCUGCUAAACCGUAAGGUGAUGUAUAGGGGCUGACGCCUGCCCGGUGCUGGAAGGUUAAGAGGAGUGGUUAGCUUCUGCGAAGCUACGAAUCGAAGCCCCAGUAAACGGCGGCCGUAACUAUAACGGUCCUAAGGUAGCGAAAUUCCUUGUCGGGUAAGUUCCGACCCGCACGAAAGGCGUAACGAUUUGGGCACUGUCUCAACGAGAGACUCGGUGAAAUCAUAGUACCUGUGAAGAUGCAGGUUACCCGCGACAGGACGGAAAGACCCCGUGGAGCUUUACUGUAGCCUGAUAUUGAAAUUCGGCACAGCUUGUACAGGAUAGGUAGGAGCCUUUGAAACGUGAGCGCUAGCUUACGUGGAGGCGCUGGUGGGAUACUACCCUAGCUGUGUUGGCUUUCUAACCCGCACCACUUAUCGUGGUGGGAGACAGUGUCAGGCGGGCAGUUUGACUGGGGCGGUCGCCUCCUAAAAGGUAACGGAGGCGCUCAAAGGUUCCCUCAGAAUGGUUGGAAAUCAUUCAUAGAGUGUAAAGGCAUAAGGGAGCUUGACUGCGAGACCUACAAGUCGAGCAGGGUCGAAAGACGGACUUAGUGAUCCGGUGGUUCCGCAUGGAAGGGCCAUCGCUCAACGGAUAAAAGCUACCCCGGGGAUAACAGGCUUAUCUCCCCCAAGAGUUCACAUCGACGGGGAGGUUUGGCACCUCGAUGUCGGCUCAUCGCAUCCUGGGGCUGUAGUCGGUCCCAAGGGUUGGGCUGUUCGCCCAUUAAAGCGGUACGCGAGCUGGGUUCAGAACGUCGUGAGACAGUUCGGUCCCUAUCCGUCGUGGGCGUAGGAAAUUUGAGAGGAGCUGUCCUUAGUACGAGAGGACCGGGAUGGACAUACCUCUGGUGUACCAGUUGUCGUGCCAACGGCAUAGCUGGGUAGCUAUGUGUGGACGGGAUAAGUGCUGAAAGCAUCUAAGCAUGAAGCCCCCCUCAAGAUGAGAUUUCCCAACUUCGGUUAUAAGAUCCCUCAAAGAUGAUGAGGUUAAUAGGUUCGAGGUGGAAGCAUGGUGACAUGUGGAGCUGACGAAUACUAAUCGAUCGAAGACUUAAUCAAA